GGAAGUAAAAGUGUAACAAGGUUUCCGUAGGUGAACCUGCGGAAGGAUCAUUAUCGUACAAAAUGUGAGGGGCAUGCGAGGGCUGUCGCUGACCCAAAAGUCGUGCAUGCCCGAGUGUGUCCUCUUGCAUAAUAAUCCAUCUCACCCUUUGUGCAUCACCGCGUGGGCACCCUUCGGGAUCAUCUCGGAGGGGGCUCGCGUUUUCACACAAACCCCCCUUUUAAAAGUGUAGAGUGACCACAUUUAUGCAAUCAAUACAACUUUCAACAACGGAUCUCUUGGCUCUC
rnacentral:misc_RNA from 1 species